UAGGGAAUCUUCCACAAUGGACGCAAGUCUGAUGGAGCAACGCCGCGUGAGUGAAGAAGGGUUUCGGCUCGUAAAGCUCUGUUGUUAAAGAAGAACGUGGGUAAGAGUAACUGUUCAUACGUUGACGGUAUUUAACCAGAAAGUCACGGCUAACUACGUGCCAG
rnacentral:rRNA from 1 species